rnacentral:rRNA from 1 species
CCUACGGGGCGCUGCAGUGGGGAAUAUUGCACAAUGGGGGGAACCCUGAUGCAGCAAUGCCGCGUGAAGGAUGAAGGUUUUCGGAUUGUAAACUUCUUUUGUACGGGACGAAGAAAGUGACGGUACCGUAAGAAUAAGCCACGGCUAACUACGUGCCAGCAGCCGCGGUAAUACGUAGGUGGCAAGCGUUAUCCGGAUUUAUUGGGUUUAAAGGGUGCGUAGGCUGUGAGGUAAGUCAGCGGUGAAAUGCCCCCGCUCAACGGGGUGAAGUGCCAUUGAUACUGCCUUGCUGGAAUGCGGAUGCCGUGGGAGGAAUGUGUGGUGUAGCGGUGAAAUGCAUAGAUAUCACACAGAACACCGAUUGCGAAGGCAUCUCACGAAUCCGCGAUUGACGCUGAUGCACGAAAGCGUGGGUAUCAAACAGGAUUAGAUACCCCGGUAGUC